rnacentral:rRNA from 1 species
GCUANCAUGCAGUCGACGGUGGCCUCGGAGCUUGCUUCGGGUGAUCAGUGGCGAACGGGUGAGUAACACGUGAGUAACCUGCCCCAGACCCUGGGAUAACCUCGGGAAACCGGGGCUAAUACCGGAUAUGCAGCGUUCCCGCAUGGGAUGCGUUGGGAAAGUUUUUCGGUCUGGGAUGGACUCGCGGCCUAUCAGCUUGUUGGUGAGGUAGUGGCUCACCAAGGCGACGACGGGUAGCCGGCCUGAGAGGGCGACCGGCCACACUGGAACUGAGACACGGUCCAGACUCCUACGGGAGGCAGCAGUGGGGAAUAUUGCACAAUGGGCGCAAGCCUGAUGCAGCGACGCCGCGUGGGGGAUGAAGGCCUUCGGGUUGUAAACCCCUUUCAGCAGGGAAGAAGCGAAAGUGACGGUACCUGCAGAAGAAGCGCCGGCUAACUACGUGCCAGCAGCCGCGGUAAUACGUAGGGCGCAAGCGUUGUCCGGAAUUAUUGGGCGUAAAGAGCUCGUAGGCGGUUUGUCGCGUCUGCUGUGAAAACCCGAGGCUCAACCUCGGGCCUGCAGUGGGUACGGGCAGACUAGAGUGUGGUAGGGGAGACUGGAAUUCCUGGUGUAGCGGUGGAAUGCGCAGAUAUCAGGAGGAACACCGAUGGCGAAGGCAGGUCUCUGGGCCACAACUGACGCUGAGGAGCGAAAGCGUGGGGAGCGAACAGGAUUAGAUACCCUGGUAGUCCACGCCGUAAACGGUGGGCACUAGAUGUGGGGCUCAUUCCAUGAGUUCCGCGUCGCAGCUAACGCAUUAAGUGCCCCGCCUGGGGAGUACGGCCGCAAGGCUAAAACUCAAAGGAAUUGACGGGGGCCCGCACAAGCGGCGGANCAUGCGGAUUAAUUCGAUGCAACGCGAAGAACCUUACCAAGGCUUGACAUAUACCCUCUACCCCCAGAGAUC